GGGGAUUUAGCUCAGUGGUAGAGCGCUUGCCUAGCAAGCACAAGGCCCUGAGUUCGGUCCUCAGUUCCA
rfam:Rattus norvegicus chromosome 4, whole genome shotgun sequence.